GAGGGUUUACUCAAAGAGGAGGCUGGAAAUACUCCGUUAGUACAACUGCUUCAUUCAUUGCGACAACAAAUUGAUGUUCCUAUUCUGAAAUUUUUCUUCAAUAUCACCAAACAUUCAGAAAAACACGAUAAUCAAAAUGAUCAUCAUAUUCCUUUGUAUUACUUUUAAAUCUAUUCUGGUUUCAGGUUCCUCUUUUAGUGACAACGUCCACCAGACUCCAGCAGACACGUUCAAGAAACCCAAUGAAACUGCAACAGUUAACUGUUCACACAGUAUUCCGAACUAUGAUCGGGUCCUCUGGUACAAGCAAUCGAACAAAAAACUGCAGUUCCUGGGAUACAUGUAUAAAACGAAUGGGAACCCAGAGGCUGGACUGGGUGUAAAAAUGGAUGGGAAUGCAGAUAAAGACCAGACAAGCACAUUAACAAUAGAAGAACUCAGCCUGAACAGCAGUGCAGUGUACUUCUGUGCUGCUAGUUACACAGUGCUGCAUAUCACUGCUCCUCAGUACAAAAACCUCCUCGUCACACAUUCUCUUAUCUCUGUAUUGCAGCUCCUCACAGCACCUCACACCUGUCUCUCUCCCUCUUAUUAGGUGGCAGUAUGUCUGGGUGUAGGGAGUCGAUAGGGCUGGGAUAAUAUGCCUUUGUCCCGACUCGAUUCUUUGACGAUAUAUAAGUGCCGAUUCGAUUUGUAUUGCGAAUUUCAUGUAAUGCGAUUGUAGAAGUACUGUGGUUCGAUAGUAUGGAGUGUUGCGAUUUUCUUUUCCUUU